rnacentral:rRNA from 1 species
UGGGGAAUAUUGCGCAAUGGAGGGAACUCUGACGCAGCCAUGCCGCGUGGGUGAAGAAGGCCUUCGGGUUGUAAAGCCCUUUCGACGGGGAAGAUGAUGACGGUACCCGUAGAAGAAGCCCCGGCUAACUUCGUGCCAGCAGCCGCGGUAAUACGAAGGGGGCAAGCGUUGUUCGGAAUUACUGGGCGUAAAGGGCGUGUAGGCGGAUGUAUUAGUUGGGGGUGAAAGCCUUGGGCUCAACCUGAGAACUGCCUUCAAUACUAUGCAUCUAGAGUCCGUGAGAGGAUGGCGGAAUACCCAGUGUAGAGGUGAAAUUCGUAGAUAUUGGGUAGAACACCAGUGGCGAAGGCGGCCAUCUGGCACGGCACUGACGCUGAGGCGCGAAAGCGUGGGGAGCAAACAGGAUUAGAUACCCCCGUAGUCC